CAUAAGAAAACAAGUUGCAUCGCUUGAAUACUGUAGUCGUAUAAACCUUUUAUUCCACGUCAAUUCUUUCUGAUUNUAGUAGUGAAUACUCUGAAAGUUGCAACUAUUCUGAUUUUAAUGAAGAAAGUAGAUAUUUGCUAGAAACCGACUACGAAACAAACCCAAAAUGGCGAUUACAUCCAGGCUUUAGACCUGUUUAGAACUAUGGUCUUUGCGACUGCCUGCUGGAAAAUAAAGAGGGACAGAAAAUAAGAAACGAUUUCUAAGAAGCGUAGAAAGUUUACCCAUUUGGUACAUGGUUAUCUAGAAAGAAAAAUAAUUCCUUUGCUUGCAUGUCCCUAUUAUAUUAUUCCCAAAAACAUUCAGAGAAAAGGAAGACGAAUAUUUGACAUAGGUAAUUAUAAUAUUAAAUAGUGUAUACGAAUAUUAGAGUGUGCAGUAUAGAUGCACAUUUUAAGAAUUGCAGAUUCCAAGAUUCGUACUAGCUGUAUUGAAAUUAUUUACAUGGUAAUGCACUAAUUUGAAGGGCUGUUUUUGGGGCAAUCCAAGACAUUUUUGUGCCCCUCCAUUGGUUUCUUGCAAGCUGAGCAGCAGGGAUUGCGUCUCGCCUCUGUUUGACGUGGUUCUGCUACAGGUGUUGUUUAUGAAAAGAAAGGGAGCAGAACCUUCGUUUUAGACAUUGGGUUUGUCUGAAUAUGUCGAUUUACUGUACUUUCCUAUCUGGGACUUCUUCUAUCUCUUAGUUGAAAUAAGUGGUUAUAAAUAAAAUAGACCUCUCAGAUCA
rnacentral:lncRNA from 1 species